GACCAGGCAGGAUUCCAGAGGCCUUUCCUUCCCACUUCCACCUUGAAUUCUUACUUAAAAUGCAAGCCAUGUACAGAGAAUGAACAUAGGGCCAGAAAUGUACUACGCUUGCCUGUGUAUAACGUAGGGCUAGGUGCUGUCUCCCAUGAUUUCAUUUACUCAAAGGAAAUCAGAUUUGAGGGAGAUAAUGUAAUAUUUUGUCUUGUUUCAGAGCCACCAACUAUUACAGAAGAAGAAUUUGAAGAUUCUCUGGCAACAGAUGAUUUCCUUGUAGACUACUUUAAUGAAUUCCUAAGCCUUCCACUAGGUCUCUGGACCCAUUAUGGAAGUUAGAUUGACACACCAAAGCUCCUGCUCCCUUUCCAAGAACAAGCCUGAGCAACACCACAGGAUAUUCAAGGAGUUCUUGUUUGUGCAAAGGAUGGUGUUGAAAUAGUCUUAACUGAAGAACAUAUUGUACUUAAAUUUCUCCUUUUGGACAAGGGAGAUUGUUAGCCUUCAUGGCUCCUAAGGAUGAAAGACAAUGGGAGCAUUAUUUCUUCCUUUACUCAUUCUUCCCUAGUGAUCC
rnacentral:sRNA from 1 species